AGUGGCGGACGGGUGAGUAACGCGUGAGAAUCUGCCUUGGGGUCGGGGACAACCACUGGAAACGGUGGCUAAUACCGGAUAAGCCGAUUGGUGAAAGAUUUAUUGCCCGAAGAGGAGCUCGCGUCUGAUUAGCUAGUUGGUGAGGUAAGAGCUCACCAAGGCAGCGAUCAGUAGCUGGUCUGAGAGGACGAUCAGCCACACUGGGACUGAGACACGGCCCAGACUCCUACGGGAGGCAGCAGUGGGGAAUUUUCCGCAAUGGGCGAAAGCCUGACGGAGCAAGACCGCGUGAGGGAGGAAGGCUCUUGGGUUGUAAACCUCUUUUCUCAGGGAAGAAGCUCUGACGGUACCUGAGGAAUCAGCCUCGGCUAACUCCGUGCCAGCAGCCGCGGUAAUACGGAGGAGGCAAGCGUUAUCCGGAAUUAUUGGGCGUAAAGCGUCCGCAGGUGGCGAUUCAAGUCUGCUGUCAAAGCACGGGGCUUAACUCCGUAAAGGCAGUGGAAACUGAAUAGCUAGAGUGCCGUAGGGGUAGAGGGAAUUCCCGGUGUAGCGGUGAAAUGCGUAGAGAUCGGGAAGAACAUCGGUGGCGAAAGCGCUCUACUGGACGGCAACUGACACUCAGGGACGAAAGCUAGGGGAGCGAAUGGGAUUCGAUACCCC
rnacentral:rRNA from 1 species